rnacentral:rRNA from 2 species
GGUCAAGCUACGAAGGGCUCACGGUGGAUACCUU